rnacentral:rRNA from 1 species
GACGUAGGGGGCCAGCGUUGUUCGGAAUUACUGGGUGUAAAGGGUUCGUAGGCGGUGCGGCAAGUUGGGAGUGAAAUCUCUGGGCUUAACCCAGAGGCUGCUUCCAAAACUGCUGUGCUUGAGUGUGGGAGAGGCGCGUGGAAUUGCAGGUGUAGCGGUGAAAUGCGUAGAUAUCGUAAGGAAGACCAGUGGCGAAGGCGGGUCUCUGGACAGUUCCUGACGCUGAGGCACGAAGGUCAGGGGAGCAAACGGG